UAGGGAAUCUUCGGCAAUGGACGAAAGUCUGACCGAGCAACGCCGCGUGAGUGAAGAAGGUUUUAGGAUCGUAAAACUCUGUUGGUAGAGAAGAACGUUGGUGAGAGUGGAAAGCUCAUCAAGUGACGGUAACUACCCAGAAAGGGACGGCUAACUACGUGCC
rnacentral:rRNA from 1 species